UGCGGGAUGGUGUAACGGCAACACGCCUCGCUCUGGACGAGGUAUUCAAGGUUCGAAUCCUUGUCCCGCAGCCU
rnacentral:tRNA from 1 species